AUAAAAUACCGAAAACCGAAUUACCGAACCGAACCGGCUAUUUCGGUAUUUCGGUAUUCGGGAAUUCGGUUCGGUAUUCGAUACUGAACUAUAAAAUUUAGUAUUUCGGGAUCGGUAUUCGGUAUUUACAAUUAUACCGUUCGGUAAUUCGAUAAAUACCGAAUACCGAAAUUAAUAAGUCCACUAGUGAGUAGUCCAGCCCAAAUCCUAAAUAAUGGCCCAUUGUAAAAACAUUCAAGUGCAGUAGUCCAGCCCAAAUCCAAUAAAAGUCCCAUUGUUAAAACUGUAAAUCCCUAAUGAUCAGUUCACUACUUCACUUCACAGCUUCACGCCUUCACUUUCACUCCUUCAGUGCUUCACACAAAAUCUCCCCAAAUCUGAUAAUCACUAAUCACGGUAUCACCUCAGCUCCAACUGCGAAGUGCGAAGUCUCUUUUCUCACAUUAGGUUUUUCUCAUUCCUUCCUCAAGGAGAAAACAAUGCUUCAUUGCUGGUUCAUUUUAGGUAAAUUUAUUGAACGGUUGAGUCAUGAGUAGUUGUGUGAAGCCAAAAGAACAGACGGAGGCCAAUCCAGUUGUGCUUCUCCAUGGUUUUGAUAGAGUGAAGGUACACAUUUCCGAUGCUUGAGGAGGCUGGAUUAGAGACAUGGGCAGUUGAUAUCUUAGGAUGGGGUUUCUCUGAUGUAGCUUCCAAGCGUGAUCAUCUUUACCAGGUACCUCCUGAUUCCAAACUAAACAUCCUGAUCUACUGCAUACAAGGUUGGAAGGUUGGAACUAGUCUCUUUCUUUGCACAUUCUAAUAAAUGUAAAGUUGCAUACCUAAGUUUAAAAGUAAGGUAAAAUUCACAUUCAUUUUUUUCCUAGUAGUGUACUAUAUAAUACUUAGUUUGCCAGGGCACUGGGCACGUACACAGUUAUACCCCAUUGUGCAGUGCUAUGAUAUCGCAGUUAUGCAGCAUUAAAAAGGGAAACCAUUGCUUACUUGGUCAGCUCUACACUAUGAAAUUAUGGAAGUAGUGUUGGAUUGUUUGAUGUAACUGAACGUAUAUGUUAUAAUGUUUGUGGUUUAUUACUGAAAGGGUAAUUCUUUCAUCCUAUAAUCGAUAUGCAUACUUAUAAAAGAGAGAAAAAUCUUGAGUAUUGAUGAGCAAAAAAAUGGUAUUACCGAAUACCGUACCGAACCGAAAUUUGAUUUACCAAUUCCCGAAUUACCGAACCGAAGUUUGAAAGUUCGGUAUUUGGUAUAUA